GAUGAACGCUGGCGGCGUGCCUAAUACAUGCAAGUCGAGCGAACGGACGAGAAGCUUGCUGCGCGGACGUUAGCGGCGGACGGGUGUGUAACACGUGGAUAACCCACCUAUAAGACUGGGAUCACUUCGGGAAACCGGAGAUAAUACCGGAUAAUAUUUUGAACCGCGUGGUGCGAAAGUGAAAGACGGUCGUUGUGUCAGGUAUAGCUGGAUCUGCGCUGCAUGGGCUAGUUGGUAAGUUAACGGGUUACCAAGGGAACGAGGCGUGGACGAGGUGUUAGGGUGAUCGGCCACCUGAGAACUUAGACAGGGACCAUGCUCCUACGGGACGCCGCAGUAGGGAACCGUACGCAAUGGGGGAAAACCUGGCAGAACAACGCCGCGUGAGUGAUGAAGGUCUUCGGAGCGUAAUACCCUGUUAUUAGUGAUGAACCUAUGUGGACUUAACUGUGCACAUAGUGACGGUACCUAAUAAGGAAGCCACGGCUAACUACGUG
rnacentral:rRNA from 1 species